UACGAAGGGGGCUAGCGUUGUUCGGAAUUACUGGGCGUAAAGCGCACGUAGGCGGAUAUUUAAGUCAGGGGUGAAAUCCCGGGGCUCAACCCCGGAACUGCCUUUGAUACUGGGUAUCUCGAGUCCGAGAGAGGUGAGUGGAAUUCCGAGUGUAGAGGUGAAAUUCGUAGAUAUUCGGAGGAACACCAGUGGCGAAGGCGGCUCACUGGCUCGGUACUGACGCUGAGGAGCGAAAGCGUGGGGAGCGAACAGG
rnacentral:rRNA from 1 species